UACAUGAGGAAAGUAUAACUUAAAAUUACCAAAGAUAAUUCAUUCGUCAGGUGGGAACAGAUGGAAUUGAAAUUCAGCGAAAAAGAAUUCAGUUGUGAAACUCUAACCAAAAUUACAUGAGGAAAGUAUAACUUAAAAUUACCAAAGAUAAUUCAUUCGUCAGGUGGGAACAGAUGGAAUUGAAAUUCAGCGAAAAAGAAUUCAGUGGUGAAACUCUAACCAAAAUUAUAUGAGGAAAGCAUAACUUAAAAUUACCAAAGAUAAUUCAUUCGUGGGGUGGGAACAGAUGGAAUUGAAAUUCAGCGAAAAAGCUAUUCCAGCAUGGUCAAUGCUAACCCAGCUUGGCUCAUCACAAUGGUCAAUGCUAACCCAGCUUGGGUCAUCACAAUGGUCAACGCUAAACCUGCUUGGCUUAUCACGAUGGUCAACGCUCAACCAGCUUGGGUAUCACACGGUGCUUUAAGCAUCGCUCCCAUUCCACUCCCGGAGUAAUUUUUGGUAUGGUAGUAAGCUACGGCUUACAAGCCCCACUGGGGCUCUGCAUGAAUGCAUCCCUGAAUAAA